UUAUUCAGAAACAAAUCUGAAAUUUAGAGAGAGAAUCAGAGCUAUUUGUAGAGAGAGAAAGCUCUGGCGACCACUCCGUCUUUGUAGAGAUCGAAGUUUAGUUGCAGCAUAUUGUUGGUUGUGAAAAUGAAAAAGUGCAAAUCUGUCAUUUUCAGUUUGAUAUUGUUGAUUUGUCGAAAAAGGUUAGUUGUUUGAACGACCCAUCCCUUCCCCUGCCGCUGCUAUAAACACCACACACACACACAUGCUUGAACGGUGACCACCGAUACUAACAUCAAUCACCACUAAAACUACCACCCAAUCUACCCACCACAAUCAUCAAACCACCACCCACACCCAGUAAAUAAGAUCGACAGAGGUGGUUUUAGAGUUGUUUACGAAGGGGUUCUAAGAGAUGGUUCUCAGGUGGCCUCAAGCCUCUUUCUGCUAUAUAUAAAAAAAGGUACCAUCGAAUUCUUGACCAUUAAUCAAUGUAUUAUAAUUAUCUUUAUUCGGAUCAAACUCGUUCUUUACAAUCUGAUAAAAAAAAAGUUGACUACUUGAUAGAGCUUACCAUAACUACAUAGCCCUCGGAUAAUCGGAUUCAAGAUCUGGGGAUGUAACAGGUAACCCAGGUUUAUAACAUUCCCUAAUGCAAAAACCCCAAAGCCCAGUUCACUGGAAUGACACAAACAGUUUAUUACAAUGCUAAACACAAAUCAAUCAGGUUUCACCAAAAGGGUUAACACCCAAGAAGCCUAAUUGAUGAACCAUAGAGAUACAAGGGGAUUUUGGUUUUGUUGCAGCUUUAAAUCAUUGAAGAAGGGAAAGUGUUAGGGUUGAGAGGGAAAUUACCAUUUUACCCUCAUGUGCAUUGCACAUGACAGUUUUUAACUGAGAUUUCAAACCAGGUUUGGCCUAAAGGACAAAACGUGCAAGAUUUUGAAAGACUAAGGACACCGCCUGUAAACUUUUGGCCAAAAGGACAACGCCUGUAAUUUGAUGUAAACAUAAAGGACAAAACUUGUAAUUUACUCAUUUUUUUAUGUUUAAGUUUAAGUUGUUUAAGUAUUUAACCAAUGCUAGUAGAAAUUAUUAAUUUUAUUCUUAAAUGUUAAGUAUUGAUGAUAAAUACAUUAACAUGUUUAUUUACAGUUGAAAUGAUUUAUUUAUUGCUUCCAAUAAAUAACAAAAUAUAAUAUAAAAUUAAAUGAUCUUCAAAGUAUUAUAAAAGAAAAUGUCUUAAUAAAACUUUAGAGAUAUUAUAAAAGAAAAUGUAUUAAUAAAAACUUUAAAGAAACAUAAAAAUAGAUUAGAAAUUUCGGUUUAUGUGAACAAUAUUCAUUAAAAAGGUUAAAUAUAAUAACUUAAAUGUAAACAAAGAUUCUUAAAUUUUAAUUAUACUUUUUAAUUUUUGAAUCUUACAUAAUUUUGUUCCAAAAACUAAAAUAACUGAAAAACCUAAUCAAACUGGUGUAAAAAUCAA
rnacentral:lncRNA from 1 species